UGGUAAUGCCGGAUGCUCCAGUUGAUCGCAUGGUCUUCUGGGAAAGCUUUCGCGGUAUGGGAUGGGGUCGCGUCCUAUCAGCUUGACGGCGGGGUAACGGCCCACCGUGGCUUCGACGGGUAGCCGGCCUGAGAGGGCGACCGGCCACAUUGGGACUGAGAUACGGCCCAGACUCCUACGGGAGGCAGCAGUGGGGAAUAUUGCACAAUGGGCGCAAGCCUGAUGCAGCGACGCCGCGUGAGGGAUGGAGGCCUUCGGGUUGUAAACCUCUUUUAUCGGGGAGCAAGCGWGAGUGAGUUUACCCGUUGAAUAAGCACCGGCUAACUACGUGCCAGCAGCCGCGGUAAUACGUAGGGUGCAAGCGUUAUCCGGAAUUAUUGGGCGUAAAGGGCUCGUAGGCGGUUCGUCGCGUCCGGUGUGAAAGUCCAUCGCUUAACGGUGGAUCCGCGCCGGGUACGGGCGGGCUUGAGUGCGGUAGGGGAGACUGGAAUUCCCGGUGUAACGGUGGAAUGUGUAGAUAUCGGGAAAGAACACCA
rnacentral:rRNA from 1 species